GACGAACGCUGGCGGCGUGCUUAACACAUGCAAGUCGAACGGAAAGGCCCUGCUUGCAGGGUACUCGAGUGGCGAACGGGUGAGUAACACGUGGGUGAUCUGCCCUGCACUUCGGGAUAAGCCUGGGAAACUGGGUCUAAUACCGGAUAGGAGCCAUUUUUAGUGUGAUGGUUGGAAAGUUUUUUCGGUGUAGGAUGAGCUCGCGGCCUAUCAGCCUGUUGGUGGGGUAAUGGCCUACCAAGGCGGCGACGGGUAGCCGGCCUGAGAGGGUGGACGGCCACAUUGGGACUGAGAUACGGCCCAGACUCCUACGGGAGGCAGCAGUGGGGAAUAUUGCACAAUGGGCGCAAGCCUGAUGCAGCGACGCCGCGUGGGGGAUGACGGCCUUCGGGUUGUAAACUCCUUUCGCUAGGGACGAAGCUUUUUGUGACGGUACCUAGAGAAGAAGCACCGGCUAACUACGUG
rnacentral:rRNA from 1 species